ACACGAGAAAGGAGGUGGUCCAGCAAAUGAGUUAUGAGUGUAGCAACGAGGUGUCAUACCGGACCCGUGAGGUGGCGGCAACUUAGGCGGACCCACGGUCAUCGGGCCGCUCGGUAUCUCCGCCUAGGGAAUACCGGCCGGCCACCGAACCCGGAAGCCCCGGCCACGGUCCAGCCGGGGCGGCGCGCUGCGCCGCAGACGCUUCCGGGUUUUCUU
rnacentral:sRNA from 1 species